GGCGUUGCUAUGCGACACUGCAGGCGGAAGAGGAGAGACCAGACGCGGCGUAACUCGAGGAUGACUGGCGAAAAUACACUGGGAAUGGAAGUCGACUUGCAGAUUCCAGCAGUAGUACCAAAAGGCCAAAAGGAUCCGAAACAGAUCAGAAAGGAGCUGGAAUGAAAUGAACUGGUCAAGGACAGAAGUGGACCACAGUCCCCACUAUCUUCCCCAAGUAGAGGUCAGGUUUAACUUGUCCCCAGGAGAAGAUGAAAUCCCGCCUGUGGACUGCAGCCUCAGCCUGUGCCUGAGAGUUCUAGAGUUCUAAAUACCUGCCCUGUGUAUUUCAGACUUGCCUAGCCAUCCCCCAAAUCUCAUAAGCCAAUUCCUUGCAAUAAAUCUCUUAACCCUUUCAACCCGACGGUAGAAUAUAGUCGAAUGAAUAGCUCUAUCAGCAGACUGCAGCGUUAGAGUUUACCCUACCAGCUCAAAAAAACUUUUCCCUCUACAGCGGAGUUCAAAGUAUAUUCCCAGGCACUUGACUCCAGCGCUGGAAGAGUCCGUGAGUGCUGCCUAAAUGUGUAAGAACAGGAAACACCCAGGUUUACGUUUGCCACGUCACCGCCAUCGCGACCUGCCUUUUGUGCUCCGGUGCCCAGUGGGUGAUGUGGUUAUUUUGCAGUUCUUACGAAAGAUUGGAGUUUCUUCAUCAUUACAUUAGUUUUCUCUGCUGCGUAUUAGUUCAGAAAUGGGUGGAGUGAAGAGAAAAAGAAAAAUUGAUGAUGAAGAAAUAGAAAGGGCCUUGCAAGAAGAUAGCGAAAUUGACUGUGAAGACGAUGAUGAUACGGAGGAGGAAGCACAGUAGGACACUGACGAUGUAAUAUCAGUUGAGCCAUCUCUGUCUACAAGCAGUGCGUCACAUUCCUUGACAUCUUGGCAUAGGAUUGGAAACGUGAAAGAUAAUUCUUUACCUGAAUUAGACUCUAUUCCAGACUUUACCGGAAAACACAGUGUUCUUGGUUUCAACAAUUUAGAACCAUAUGGAUAUUUUACUCAAUUUCUUCCUUCGUCUAUUUUUGAGCUUAUUGCCAAUGAAACAAACAGAUAUGCUGAAAGCAUUCUAUCUUGGAUUGAAAAACUCUCGCCUAGGUCUAGGUUUAACAAGUGGCAAGGUGUUGAUGACCAAAUGAUGAAGGCGUUUGUAACUUUUGAAAUUGCAAUGGGGUUGGUACACAAGCCAACAUUAGAAUCAUACUUUCAGGAUACCUGUUGGUUGACUCAAACUCCUGGUUUCAACACUAUUUUUACAAGGGAUGAAUAUCAUCCAAUUAGGUCCUUUCUUCAUUUUUCCAAUAAUGAUGAUGAAUUAUCAAAGACUGAUCGGCUUCCAAAAAUCAGGCCCAUAAAUAGAUUUUGUGAAGGUUACAUAUAUUUCCUUCUAUAAUAGCAAUAAGGAAUUGUGUGUGGGUGAGUCCAUGUUGAAAUUCAAGGGGUGUCUAUUUAUCAAGCAAUAUCUUUCCAGUAAACCAAGUAUAAAGUGGGGCAUAAAGAUUUGGUCACUCUGUGAUUCAUGAACAGGAUUUCUGUUGUGCUUUGAUGUUUACACAGGCAAAGAUUCAGCUCAAGAUGGAAAAGUUGGGUUGGGAGCAAGGGUGGUAUCCAGCUUGCUGAAUGAAUUUGAAGGGACAUGUAGUUUGUACAGACAGUUUUUAUUCAAGUAUAGAACUUUUUGAGAGUCUAAGAUUGAAAAAAAGCGGAGCAUGUGGUACAGUGCGUGCCAAUAGGAGAGGACUGCCUUCAGAUAUGAGGAUUUGCAAGCUGAAGCCUGGUGACCUCCCCGUGAUAUGGGAAAAUCAUGAUCAACCACUGCUUGCUUGCACUUGGCAGGAGACAGGGAGAGUUAACAUGAUCUCCACUGUUGGGAAUGGUGGUGUCAGUGAAGUGCUUGUAAGAUCAAAAAAGGGAAUGAGAGAACUGUGUUGAAACCAAAUAUUCAAAUUCUAUACAAUUCAUUUAUGUGUGGAGUUGAUUGUUUUGAUCAGCUCUGUGCCACUUAUCCUUUUGACAGGAAGCCUAUGAAGUGGUAUCAAACCAUAUGGCAUUUUCUCAUUGAAGUGGCUCUAGUAAAUGGCUAUAUAUGUUACAACAUUCAAAACCCAGCAAGAACUUGACCCAACAGAAAUUCAGGGAAAAAGUUAUAGAGGGCUUAUUAGAUGGAUUUUCAAGAAAAGAUGGACAUAAGAGGGGUUGCAGGAUGUCUACACCAAAAGAGAUUAGGCUGACAGAGCACCAUCUUCCCAGGGAAUUUGAGGAUAAGAAAAAGAAGCCUAAUUGCUGCAUGUGCAGCAUUAUGCCCUCACAAUGUGCAAAAAAAGGGGAAAGGUGUUUGCAAACGCAAACAAACCACGUUUUAUUGUGCUAUGUGUCCUGGAAAUCCAGCAACGUGUGUUGUUCCUUGUUUUGAGAAUUACCACUCAAAAGUAAAACACAAAAAAUCCUGUCAGUGUUCCAGAAAGGAAGUUUAGGAAAGUGGAUGUACAUUUUUCUAUAUUUGUUUGUGUUUUUCAUGAAUUAAUAGCAAUAGGACAUUUUCCUACAUAAAAAUGUCAUUUAUAUACAAAGCAGCUCAAAUUUGUUAUUAAAUGAUUAAAAUA